rnacentral:rRNA from 1 species
AUUGAACGCUGGCGGCAGGCCUAACACAUGCAAGUCGAGCGGAGCGACGGACGGGUGAGUAAUGCCUAGGAAUCUGCCUGGUAGUGGGGGAUAACGUCCGGAAACGGGAGCUAAUACCGCAUACUAUACAAUGAGCAUCGGUCGGAUGAGCUAGUUGGUGGGGUAAAGGCCUACCAAGGCGACGAUCCGUAACUGGUCUGAGAGGAUGAUCAGGCACACUGGAACGGAGACACGGGCCAGACUCCGACGGGAGGCAGCAGUGGGGAAUAUUGGACAAUGGGCGAAAGCCUGAUCCAGCCAUGCCGAGGGUGUGAAGAAGGUCUUCGGAUUGUAAAGCACUUUAAGUUGGGAGGCGUUACCAACAGAAUAAGCACCGGCUAACUUCGUGCCAGCAGCCGCGGUAAUUC